GCCCCGCCUGGCCCCGCCCCGCCUGCCGGGGCUCCGCUCCCCGCCCGCGGCCUCCGCUUCCCCCCGCCGCGGCGCGCGGGGCCGCUCUGACGUCAGCGCGCUGCUCGCCCCUCAGCCCCGCUGCGUCACUGCCGAUGUCAAACCGUGCCCUUGUGCCCCUCAGUCCCGCGUGGAAGGGAAGGGGGGAGCGCUAGACUACAUCUCCCAUGACCACCGCGGCCCGCGGGGGCCUCGGCAGCGGCGAUGGCGAGGCUGGCAGGGACCGCCUACGCGGCUGGCACCCCUCGGGCUCUGGGGUGACGCGCGGGCUCCUUCCUGAGGGGGCGCGGGACGACCCCAGCCCCACAUCACCGCCAGGCCCCGCCUACUCCGCGCCCGGCGGCUAAAAAUACUCCCCACAGGUAGCAACGCCCGGCGAUUGGCUGCCUUCCCGAGCGGCCAUCGCUGAUUGGCCAGCGGAGCCAGGGGGCGGAGCCAGGCCGGGUUUUGGGGGACCGAGGAUUUGCACCAGAGGCACAAGGAGAAUUUGACACACUUGCUGCAAAGAGGUUUUCAUGCCCCGAACGUGAAACCACCAGGACUGGCUGAAGGACACUCUGUGCCCAGGGACUGGGGAGCUGAGACCUGAAAUGGAUGAGCUAUUUUACUGCUAUUUUACUGCUGCAAACGCCUCUUCAAGAUGUGCUGGCACAGCCUCACUCCCCAAGUUAAACACUUGGAAACACAGAAGAUGCCCCUGUCCAGCAGCAGUUGGGGCACGUGAAGUUUCAGGAAGGAAGGGAGGAGCUGCUUUGUUUUCUUCCUAGGGAAGGCCAGCGAUGGAAUUUCACUAGAGAUCCUACCAACAUUAAAUACUCUGUGAAGCCUCAGGAGCUCCUGAGAUGAUGGAUGACAUCAAGAGCCAAAAGAACAUGUACAAAGCAUCUGCAGAAAGAGAUCCUUAAUGACUGUGUGAAGUCUGUUGAUUUGUUGCCAGCACAUGCUCUCACUCUCCAUGUCAGCGUUUGCAACAAUGGGAUCCUCACUUUGGAAAUUUCAGCUGCUUAUAGGAAGUUUAGGUGUUCAAAAUGGCCACUGCAAUGGGCUUGUAUAACAUCUAAGGCACAGAAAUCCACCAUAAUUUUGAAGAAUAAAGUGGGAAUUAAUUUUUCAUUAUUGGAAGAAAUACUUUGUUUUCUGCUAUUACAAGGAAUGAUCAAAGACUCGGAGCCCUUUGGAAAGAGUUUCCAAUAGUGUGGCAUUUAAUGCGAGCAAUUUGUGAUUACUGUUGGAGCACAAAAACAUUGUAAAUCUGAAGGAGAGCCCAGAAGGCAGGAUUGAGCAUCUCCCGUGUCCUAGAUUCAGCAGAGGAACUGAUGUGAAAAAGAAGCAGGAUCUGCUGGAUGGAAAGCUCAAACGAUGUAUCACAGGAAAUACAAUUUCCCUGCUGUUUGCACGGGCUCUAGUCCAGAAGCAGCAGUGCAUCUGGGUAGUGGAUUUGCAAAAUGUUUGCUGGCUGUGGUUCCUCCUCCAGGUUUUCAGAGGAUCCACCCAAAGGGAACAGGCUCAGGUACGGAGACUUCCCCCAUUCAGCCAGCAAGCAGGGCACCAAUGCUUCCUUUGAACAGAAAUGCCUGAAUAUAAACAUCUACAUAUCUUUGGCAGCUCUUGACUACAAGAUAUGAAAAGGGAAUUGCCUGUUUUCUGUUUUAAGCCAAACACAAGUUUUAAGCAGCACACAGAGACAUUUGUAGGAAUUCUCCACCAAGCAUAAGCCAGUACAGAAUCAACGAGGCAUCACUGCAGACCCUUGGGCACGGUGCAUGGUCCUCCCAGCAGGACAUAAAUCUGCCCUUAAUGGGAAUUACUUCAUUUCCAUUCAGGAGUUUGCCCACCAGUUCAGCACUGUGCCAAAGGGGUAAUCAGGGGCCAUCAGGUUUCAUAAGACUUAAGUGCAACUUAAUUGUCUUUGAAAGAGGAUUUUUUUCAGCUGGAGCAAGAGCAGCUUGGUCAGGGCAGUGCCUGUGGCUCACCUAAAAACUCCCCCAGCACAGCACUGAGCUCUGUGGGUCAUGUGGAAGAGAGAGCACCUCUGGGAAAAGAAGUGCUGUGAUAAGAUUUGAUUCAGAGAAAUUCAGGACUUCUGUAGUGUACCGGUUUAAUAUCAGCCAAGUAGAUAAUUUCACUUAUUGCUCUCUCUUCCAAAAGCACACUGAGGUGCUUGGAUGGCCCAGCUGCAGUCAGAGCAGAGCAUCCCCCUGCUCUACCUGGAUUUCUUUCUAAUUUAGAAGAACUGAGCGUUCUCUUUCUGUGUAGGAACACAGAUUCAUGCCAGCACGUGAGUCCCAUGUGCUGUGGGUUUGUCAGACAGGGGCACAGUCCCUGUCCCUCCAGAUCAGCUCCAGACAUUGUCCACAGCCCUACAUUGACUCACCUGUCUUAUCAUUUUGGGUGUGGGGUCUGGUUUGCCUUCAGUCUUUUCCUGGCACAUGCAAAUCCAGAUUACCUGGAUAUUUAAAUCAAGUUCAUUGUCAUGCUAGCUGAACACCUUAUAAAGGGAUAUUGAUCAAGAAAGAAUAAUGAGCCUUCAAAUUCCCCUAAGCUGUAAGGACAAAGUGCUCAAGUAAAACAUCCCUCAUUCUAAAUGAGUCCUUACUUCUAAGUCUUCUGCAUACUCAAAACAAGGUAAACUAAACACUGGGACAAAUGGAUGAAGCUAAGUACUCCUCAGAAAGAUGGACGUCUGUUUUACCCUCUCUUCCUUUCAAAGCAAUUCAUGCCAUCAUCCUGUGAAACAAUCUGAGUAAGUCCCUGGAACUCAAGACAUUUAUUUGAGACCCUCUGACUCACUGACUUUUCUCUUUUUCUGUCCACAGUGAAUCUUGCUGAACAGGUUGAACCAAAAUUAUCUUCUUGCAAACAUUCUGUAAAUAGAUCAAUGCCAUAUCCUGUAUCAAACACUCCCUACCUGGAGCCCAUUGAAUAAAUGGAUGUCUUUGCUAUGAAAUUAUAAACCAGAACUUCAUGUGGCAUCAUACCCAUACAGAUUUGAAAUAAUUUAGCUUUCAGCAGGGUUUUCAGCAUUUCAGUAAGAGCAGUAUAAAUAGCCACAGUGUCUCAGCAUUGCAAAGGACAGGGAUUAAGGUCAGCAGCCACAGUGCAGUGGUUGGCCUUUGAAGACUGGAGCAGACUACAGAAGGUGCAGGGUACCUGGGGCUCCCAUUCAACUGUGAUGGGGCUGUGGAUGCCUUGUAUUACUUGAUUAUCACUCUGGAGGGAUUUGAACGAGAAGCAGAUGUGUGGAAACUUGCAAGAUACUUUUGAAUAACAGAAGGUCUCUUGCAGAGAGGACAAGGCUGGUUCAAGACCAAAGCACCAGCUCCUGCGUGGAGCAAAGUUCCAUGUUGUCCAUGUUGUCCCAGUGGAGCACAGCUCACCCACCCAAAGGAAACCUCACACCACAGGUGUUUGCUGGGUAAAAAACAAGUCACCCCUGAGAUAUCAGCACUGGAGAGAAACAGAGGAAGAGCUGCAAUGGGUGCUCCUCACCUCGUGUGACUCACCUCAAGAAGAUGUGUGGGUUUGGGUAUUUUUAAAGCUGACAGAGGGCAGGUUAAAUUAGGUACAAAGAAGAAAUUCUUCCCAGUGAGGCUGAUAGUGUGCUGGCAUGGAUUGCCCAGAGAAGCUGUGGCUGCCCCAUACCUGGAAGUAUCCCAGGCCAGCUUGGAUGAGGCUUGGAGUAACCUGGUCUGGUGGAAGGUGUCCCUGCCCAUGGCAGGGGUUUGGAACUGGAUGAGUGUUAAAGGUCCUUCCCAUCCCCAGCUAUUCUAUGAGUCUGUUGGGAGAGUGACACACAUAAGGCACUGAAAUACAUUCAGGUACCCCAGAGAGUCAUCUGAAUUGUGCUGGAGAUACACAGCUCAGAGUCCAAGCUGCAGGAAACCAUGAGGACUGAGAGCAACCCGAGCAGCCCUGGUGGGUCAGAUGGCUGCUGGCUUUCUCAGGCUGAGCAGCACUCACUCCACAGCCAGAUCCCCCACAGCCAGGGGAAGGCUCUGGACAACAAACCUGGCAUCAGAUGGGCCUUGGGGAAGUCUCUGGGACCAGCGGAGAGCGUGGUGACAAUGUUUACAUGCAUGUCCCUUACUAAUGAUGUCCAAAGGUGGCCAGAUUACCUCUGCAGAUGAGCUCCAGGUCUUGGGGGAGUUGCAGGUUUCUGCUCUCUAGUCCUGCCUGCACAAUCCAAGGCCCAGCAGCACAAAACCACCCUCACAUCCCCUGAGCUGUGCAGGAGGAGACCAGAACAGUGAUUCCAACCUCUUCCAGUGCCUCUGCCUUUAGCUUGUACCCUCCAGGCAAUUUCCUACAGAACUUCUUCCUCCAUAAAAGCCUCGGGAACAAUGCAAGGUGAACAGCAAUGCCUGGUGAGCUACUGGACACACAGGAUCCCUGCUCCUCCUGUGAGCAGAGAGGCUUCUUCUAAAAAGAAAGGAUUUGCAGGUCAAGGCUGCAGCCAAAAGGAGUAGCAGCACAUCCUAGAGGAGCAUCCCUUCUGCUUGGAUUCAGCUCUGUUCAGAAAAACAAAAGUCUUCAUUCAGCAUUCAAUUUUCUUCACCCUUCACCACUGGAAUUUUUCUAUGAGCUGAAUUAAAUAUGCCAGACUUCAAAGGUAAAUAUCCUCAGUGGCUCAGUGAUAUCCAUGGUGUCUUUCUGUUAACCACUGUCAUUAAGCCUCAUUCUGUUCUGAUGAGGCCCUGCAGGAAAGUGAGGUGCUCCUGUGUCCAGCUUCACUGUUUAAGCAGAAUAAAAUACUGACUG